rnacentral:rRNA from 1 species
CCCUUAGAUGCUCUGGGCCGCACGCGCGCUACACUGAUUCAUGCAACAAGUUUUGUCCUUGGCUGAUAGGCCUGGGUAAUCUUUGAACGUGAAUCGUGAUGGGGAUAGAUGAUUGCAAUUAUUCAUCUUCAACGAGGAAUUCCUAGUAAACGCAAGUCAUCAGCUUGCAUUGAUUACGUCCCUGCCCUUUGUACACACCGCCCGUCGCACCUACCGAUUGAAUGGUCCGGUGAAAUCUUCGGAUCUGAGAGAUGUCUGAUUAAUUUCGGACGCCUUUUGGAAAAGUUGUUUAAACCUUACCAUUUAGAGGAAGGUGAAGUCGUAACA